rnacentral:rRNA from 1 species
AGUGAACGCUGGCGGUAGGCCUAACACAUGCAAGUCGAACGGCAGCACAGUAAGGGCUUGCUCUUACGGGUGGCGAGUGGCGGACGGGUGAGGAAUACAUCGGAAUCUACUUUUUCGUGGGGGAUAACGUAGGGAAACUUACGCUAAUACCGCAUACGACCUACGGGUGAAAGCAGGGAAUCUUCGGACCUUGCGCGAUUGAAUGAGCCGAUGUCGGAUUAGCUAGUUGGCGGGGUAAAGGCCCACCAAGGCGACGAUCCGUAGCUGGUCUGAGAGGAUGAUCAGCCACACUGGAACUGAGACACGGUCCAGACUCCUACGGGAGGCAGCAGUGGGGAAUAUUGGACAAUGGGCGCAAGCCUGAUCCAGCCAUACCGCGUGGGUGAAGAAGGCCUUCGGGUUGUAAAGCCCUUUUGUUGGGAAAGAAAGGCAGCAGGUUAAUACCCCGCUGUUCUGACGGUACCCAAAGAAUAAGCACCGGCUAACUUCGUG